GUAAUGUCUGGGAAACUGCCUGAUGGAGGGGGAUAACUACUGGAAACGGUAGCUAAUACCGCAUAACGUCGCAAGACCAAAGAGGGGGACCUUCGGGCCUCUUGCCAUCGGAUGUGCCCAGAUGGGAUUAGCUAGUAGGUGGGGUAACGGCUCACCUAGGCGACGAUCCCUAGCUGGUCUGAGAGGAUGACCAGCCACACUGGAACUGAGACACGGUCCAGACUCCUACGGGAGGCAGCAGUGGGGAAUAUUGCACAAUGGGCGCAAGCCUGAUGCAGCCAUGCCGCGUGUAUGAAGAAGGCCUUCGGGUUGUAAAGUACUUUCAGCGGGGAGGAAGGGAGUAAAGUUAAUACCUUUGCUCAUUGACGUUACCCGCAGAAGAAGCACCGGCUAACUCCGUGCCAGCAGCCGCGGUAAUACGGAGGGUGCAAGCGUUAAUCGGAAUUACUGGGCGUAAAGCGCACGCAGGCGGUUUGUUAAGUCAGAUGUGAAAUCCCCGGGCUCAACCUGGGAACUGCAUCUGAUACUGGCAAGCUUGAGUCUCGUAGAGGGGGGUAGAAUUCCAGGUGUAGCGGUGAAAUGCGUAGAGAUCUGGAGGAAUACCGGUGGCGAAGGCGGCCCCCUGGACGAAGACUGACGCUCAGGUGCGAAAGCGUGGGGAGCAAACAGGAUUAGAUACACCUGGUAGUCCACGCCGUAAACGAUGUCGACUUGGAGGUUGUGCCCUUGAGGCGUGGCUUCCGGAGCUAACGCGUUAAGUCGACCGCCUGGGGAGUACGGCCGCAAGGUUAAAACUCAAAUGAAUUGACGGGGGCCCGCACAAGCGGUGGAGCAUGUGGUUUAAUUCGAUGCAACGCGAAGAACCUUACCUGGUCUUGACAUCCACAGAACUUUCCAGAGAUGAAUUGGUGCCUUCGGGAACUGUGAGACAGGUGCUGCAUGGCUGUCGUCAGCUCGUGUUGUGAAAUGUUGGGUUAAGUCCCGCAACGAGCGCAACCCUUAUCCUUUGUUGCCAGCGGUCCGGCCGGGAACUCAAAGGAGACUGCCAGUGAUAAACUGGAGGAAGGUGGGGAUGACGUCAAGUCAUCAUGGCCCUUACGACCAGGGCUACACACGUGCUACAAUGGCGCAUACAAAGAGAAGCGACCUCGCGAGAGCAAGCGGACCUCAUAAAGUGCGUCGUAGUCCGGAUUGGAGUCUGCAACUCGACUCCAUGAAGUCGGAAUCGCUAGUAAUCGUGGAUCAGAAUGCCACGGUGAAUACGUUCCCGGGCCUUGUACACACCGCCCGUCACACCAUGGGAGUGGGUUGCAAAAGAAGUAGGUAGCUUAACCUUCGGGAG
rnacentral:rRNA from 1 species